GACGAACGCUGGCGGCGUGCUUAACACAUGCAAGUCGAACGAUGAACCCGGAGCUUGCUCCGGCGGAUUAGUGGCGAACGGGUGAGUAACACGUGAGUAACCUGCCCUUGACUCCGGGAUAAGCCUGGGAAACUGGGUCUAAUACCGGAUAGGACCACUGCCUGCAUGGGUGGUGGUGGAAAGCUUUUGCGGUGUGGGAUGGGCCCGCGGCCUAUCAGCUUGUUGGUGGGGUGAUGGCCUACCAAGGCGACGACGGGUAGCCGGCCUGAGAGGGUGACCGGCCACACUGGGACUGAGAUACGGCCCAGACUCCUACGGGAGGCAGCAGUGGGGAAUAUUGCACAAUGGGCGCAAGCCUGAUGCAGCGACGCCGCGUGAGGGAUGACGGCCUUCGGGUUGUAAACCUCUUUCAGCACCGACGAAGCGCAAGUGACGGUAGGUGCAGAAGAAGGACCGGCCAACUACGUGCCAGCAGCCGCCGUAA
rnacentral:rRNA from 1 species